rnacentral:rRNA from 1 species
AGCAACAGGGAUUGCCCUAGUAACGGCGAGUGAAGCGGCAACAGCUCAAAUUUGAAAUCUGGCUCCUUUGGGGUCCGAGUUGUAAUUUGCAGAGGGAGCUUUUGGCGUCGGUCGUGGUCUAAGUUCCUUGGAACAGGACGUCACAGAGGGUGAGAAUCCCGUACGUGGCCGCCGGCCUUCGCCUUGUAAAGCCCCUUCGACGAGUCGAGUUGUUUGGGAAUGCAGCUCUAAAUGGGAGGUAAAUUUCUUCUAAAGCUAAAUACCCGCCAGAGACCGAUAGCGCACAAGUAGAGUGAUCGAAAGAUGAAAAGCACUUUGGAAAGAGAGUGAAAAAGCACGUGAAAUUGUUGAAAGGGAAGCGCUUGCGGCCAGACGUGCCCGCGGUUGAUCAUCCAGGCUCCAGCCUGGUGCACUCCUCCGCGGGCAGGCCAGCAUCAGUUCGGGCGGUCGGAUAAAGGCCUCUAUCACGUACCACCCCUCGGGGUGGCCUUAUAGGGGAGGCGCAACACGGCCAGCCCGGACUGAGGUUCCGCGCAUCUGCUAGGAUGCUGGCGUAAUGGCAGCAAGCGGCCCGUCUUGAAACACGGACCAAGGAGUCUAACAUCUAUGCGAGUGUUUGGGUGUCAAGCCCGAGCGCGCAAUGAAAGUGAACGGAGGUGGGAACCCUUACCGGUGCACCAUCGACCGAUCCUGAUGUCUUCGGAUGGAUUUGAGUAAGAGCAUAGCUGUUGGGACCCGAAAGAUGGUGAACUAUGCCUGAAUAGGGUGAAGCCAGAGGAAACUCUGGUGGAGGCUCGCAGCGGUUCUGACGUGCAAAUCGAUCGUCAAAUUUGGGCAUAGGGGCGAAAGACUAAUCG